AGCAGCCGCGGUAAUUCCAGCUCCAAUAGCGUAUAUUAAAGUUGUUGCAGUUAAAAGCUCGUAGUUGAAUUUCGGGAUCAGUUGGUCGGUCGUGCCUCGGUACGUACUGGUCAAAUUGAUUCCUACCUUCUGACGAACCACGAUGUCAUUAAUUUGGUGUCGCGGGAAAUCAGGACUGUUACUUUGAAAAAUUAGAGUGUUUAAAGCGGGCUCGCGCUUGAAUACAUUAGCAUGGAAUAAUGAAAUAGGACGUUUGAUUCUAUUUUGUUGGUUUCUAGGAUCGACGUAAUGAUUAAUAGGGAUAGUUGGGGGCAUUAGUAUUCAAUUGUCAGAGGUGAAAUUCUUGGAUUUAUUGAAGACUAACUACUGCGAAAGCAUUUGCCAAGGAUGUUUUCAUUAAUCAAGAACGAAAGUUAGGGAUCGAAGACGAUCAGAUACCGUCGUAGUCUUAACCAUAAACUAUGCCGACUAGGGAUCGGAUGAUGUUAAUUUUUAAUGUACUCAUUCGGCGCCUUACGGG
rnacentral:misc_RNA from 1 species